AAGGAAACGGACAGAGCUGACGAAACUCGGCGGCAUUCAUCCGGUCGUCUGCUGCCCGUCUGGGGUCGGCCGAUCCAACAGGACGGUUGUCUCUAGACUGGGUGGUGACGGCUGGUGCACUUGCCGCCGGUAUGCGCUGAGAGCGCCGCCAUCGUGUUCCGACCGGUUGGGCAGUGGCCCUGGACCUCGGUCUAGGUGUCCUGCCCAGCCAAUAGGAUGAUCGGUGGUGGCGUCCUCCGUGGGGUGUUCCGCCGUUUGCGAACGGACGGCCGGUGCUGGUUGGUGCCAUUGGGGACGGUCGCUUGCGAUUUGCUCCUAAUGGUGCCGGUCACUCUGGCCGCUCUGUGACCACUGGACGCCUUCUCGGUGUGAAAGUCGGCCACCUGUCCGACCCGUCUUGAAACACGGACCAAGGAGUCUAACAUGUGCGCGAGUCAUUGGGUGAAUAAACCUAAAGGCGAAAUGAAAGUGAAGGCCGACUUGAUUGGCUGAUAUGGGAUCCGUUCGGUUUCGGCCGGACGGCGCACCAUAGCCCCAUCUUUGACCGCAUGCGGUAGGGUGGAGGCAGAGCGUACACGUUGGGACCCGAAAGAUGGUGAACUAUGCCUGAGCAGGACGAAGCCAGAGGAAACUCUGGUGGAGGUCCGAAGCGGUUCUGACGUGCAAAUCGAUCGUCAGA
rnacentral:rRNA from 1 species